CUCCCACCUCAGCCUCCUGUGCAGCUGGGACUAUAGGUAUCUAUGUUCCAAUCUUCAGCACUGUAUUAAAGAGAACAACUUGGAAAUGAGCUUAGGAUCCACAGGUCCUGGGAAAUAGCUUAGGACCCAUAGAUAAAGUUGGUGAAGAUUAUCAGGCUGUGUUUCAAGAUGCCCAGAAUUACAAGCCUGGCAUUAACUCCCAGAACUGGCUUCAUCAACUGUUGUUCGCGCUUAUGUUUGCUUCUUCCCUCUAUCCUUGUGAUUUCAGGAUCAUAAAGAAAGAGCUUCUCCAGUCCACCAUGGCACCCAGUUGAAGCCUCUUACAAUGUUGUACAGUGGUCUAUUCUCUCUCAGAGAUCACUUAAAUGCCUCAUAGCUUAGUCUAGAACAUGCUUUUAAAUGAUUUUGUUCUUCUCAGUGAUGCACAGAGAGUGAUCUGAACCAAGAAAAGCAUAUAUUCUGAUAAGCUACAUGUAUAGUUCAUUGUAACCACAAAGGUAGAAUUAAAUUAACAUAAGCUAUUUUAAUAUAAAUGUUAAUAUGGUUGUAUUAGUUUCCUAGGGCUGCCAUAGCAGAGUUCCAGUACUCAGAUGGCUUAAGAUAGUAGACAUUUAUUGUCUCACAAUUCUGACGGCUAGAAGUUUGAAAUCAAGGUGUAAGCAGGGCCAUGCUCCCUCUGGCACCUGAAGGGGAUGAUCCUUUCUUGCAUCCUUCUAGCUUCUGAUGGCUUUCUGGCAAUUUUUGGCACUCCUUGGCUUGCACCUGCAGCACUUCAA
rnacentral:lncRNA from 1 species